rnacentral:piRNA from 1 species
UGGUGCAGACACUCAUGCAGGACUGAC